rnacentral:rRNA from 1 species
UACGUAGGGUGCGAGCGUUGUCCGGAAUUAUUGGGCGUAAAGGGCUCGUAGGCGGUCUGUUGCGUCAGGAGUGAAAAACUCGGGGCUUAACCCCGAGCCUGCUUCUGAUACGGGCAGACUAGAGGUAUGCAGGGGAGAACGGAAUUCCUGGUGUAGCGGUGAAAUGCGCAGAUAUCAGGAGGAACACCGGUGGCGAAGGCGGUUCUCUGGGCAUUACCUGACGCUGAGGAGCGAAAGUGUGGGGAGCGAACAGG